rnacentral:rRNA from 1 species
UACGAAGGGGGCUAGCGUUGCUCGGAAUCACUGGGCGUAAAGCGCACGUAGGCGGAUCCUUAAGUCGGGGGUGAAAUCCUGGAGCUCAACUCCAGAACUGCCUUCGAUACUGAGGAUCUCGAGUCCGGGAGAGGUGAGUGGAACUGCGAGUGUAGAGGUGAAAUUCGUAGAUAUUCGCAAGAACACCAGUGGCGAAGGCGGCUCACUGGCCCGGUACUGACGCUGAGAAGCGAAAGCAUGGGGAGCGAACAGG